rnacentral:piRNA from 1 species
UUUUGUGAUUAUUUGAAUCCG